GGCGGUCACUGCAAGGUGGCCUGGCGCAGGAUUUGCAGACCUAAACAGCUCGGAGGUCUUGGCAUUCUCGACCUGUGGAUGUUUGGCGCCGCAUUGCGGCUACGGUGGCUCUGGCUCGAGAGGACAGCCCCCGAACAACCAUGGGUUAGACUCCCAACGCCAUGCUCCAUGACAGACCGCUUGAUGUUCACAACUGCGACUCGCUGCCGUCUUGGCAGUGGGAAGAGGGCCUGUUUUUGGCUGGAUGCAUGGUUGGAUGGGCAAGCUCCUUGUCUCAUCGGCCCCGACAUCUUCAACGUCGUUUCCAACAAGCGCCGGGCGGUGGCGUCCGCCCUGGCCGACAGCAGAUGGGUUCGGGACCUGCAAGGCCGCAUCACGAUUGACACCCUUCCCUCCUUCUUCGCACUUUGGGUCAAGGUCGCGGCUUUAGCGCCUCUAACCACUGAUGUGGUCGACUCCUUCGAAUGCCACUUCUCUGCAAAUGGAUGCUACUCCGCGGCUUCGGCGUACAGGCUGCAGUUCGUUGGCUCCAUGUCAUAUGGUUCGAUGACGACGAUUUGGAGAGCUUGGGCGCCGGCCAAGCACAAGUUUUCUGCCUGGCUACUUGCCCAAAAUAGGAUCAUGACAGCUGACAGGCUAACGGCAAGGCAAUGGCCCAAUUCUUAUUUCUGCCCAAUAUGCUGGCGGAACCUUGAGACGGCGGAGCACCUCAUGAGGUUAGGCGAGUGA
rnacentral:rRNA from 1 species